ensembl:lncRNA
GCCUGGUGACAGAGUGAGACCCCGUCCCCAAAAAAAAAAAAAAAGCAAUCCUGUGAAAUAAACUAGUAGAUAUUGUUCUGGCCUUCAAAAAGAGAAGAGAAAACGGAUUGCUAGAAUGUUCAUUGAUUUGCCUACUUGGCAAAUGAUAGAACAUAGAUAAAAAAUUGAGCCCAGGGGCCGGGCAUGGUGGCUCACGCCUGUAAUCCCAGCACUUUGGGAGGCUGAGGUGGGUGGAUCACGAGGUCAGGAGUUCGAGACCAGUAUGGCCAACAUAGUGAAACCCCGUCUCUACUAAAAAUAAAAAAAUUAGUCACGCGUGGUAACAUGUACCUGUAAUCCCAGCUACUUAGGAGGCUGAGGCAGGAGAAUUGCGUGAACCUGGGAGGCAGAGGUUGCAGUGAGCUGAGAUGGUGCCACUGCACUCCCUCCUGGGCGACAGAGCGAGACUCCUUCUCAAAAUAAACAAACAAACAAACAAACAAAUAAAUAAAUAAAUAAAGAUUGAGCCCUGUGUGUGUGUGUGUUUUAAAUAUACUCACUAGCUUCUUUAUAAACAGCAAAAAUGUCAGUUAAAUAUAUGUUGUAUAGUUGACGUAGCUUAGGUCUUGUAAUAUCAGUUCUUACUAUCUUACUUUUUUCAGGGCUCUAUUGCACUGAAAUGCAUUGAUUGGAGUUACUUCCAAACAGGCCUUAUUUUUUUUUUACCGUGGAGUAUCUUAAAAACAUGGAGCAGCACAUUUUCUGCACAUUAAUGAGAUAAAGUCUUAUAUACCUAGACCCAAAGGUUUCAAGGGCUUCUACUGCUCCAUUAUAUAUUUAUAGGGUUUGACUGUAUGCCCAUCCAAAUCUCUUCUUGAAUUGCAGCUCCCAUAAUUCCCACGUGUUGUGGGAGGGGCCUGGUGGGAGAUAAUUGAAUCACGGGGGCAGUUUCCCCCACAGUGUUCUCAUGGUAGUAAAUAACUCUCACGAGAUCUGACAGUUUUAUAAGGGGUUUCCCUUUUGCUUGGCUCUCAUUCUCUCUUGCCAGCAAAGCAGUGACUUUGCUUCUCCUUUGCCUUCCGCCAUGAUUGUGAGGCCUCCCCAGCCACGCUGAACUGUGAGUCAAUUAAAACCCUUUCCUUUAUAAAUUACCCAGUCUUGGGUAUGUCUUUAUCAGCAGCAUGAACAUCGACUAAUACAUGUUUUGUGAAACUUUGAGAUGGUGCCUGGUAAUCCCAUAGGAUUUGAAUAUAGUUUAACAUCUGGUGAAAACCUGCUGUGGAAAAAGCCCACCACAGGGGCCAGUAAAAAAGAUGCGUUGAGGCGUAGCACUCCUGCAAAUCCCGGGACCACUGCACGAAAUCUCUCAAAGCCACAUUGCUUGGCUUUGGGGUGCCCCACUGCUGGCAUCCAGGUCCCCUGACACAGUGGAUAAUUCCGUGAACUGCUUUGUGAUCCUUGUGAGAUCCCGUUAAGAUGGCGUCCUCUCCCGGUGGCUUCUGAAGAGUUUCUGUUUUGGGUUUUGCAUGAAAAAAACAUGCCCUUCUUGGGCAUUGGUUGAAAAAGUGAGAAAAGGAAGGCCACGGAGACAGAGGCCAAGGAUAUGAUGUUGAGGUAAAAGUACAACAGGUUCGCCAGGGGUAUCAAGAGUUGGGCCAGCAUGGACCCUGCUGUGUAGGCGGCCAGGGUGACGCUCCUGCAGUAGCCGCUCACUCUCUGGUAGUGCUCGGGGCUGACCACGCUGUAUAUGUAGGCGUAGUAGGCCACCUCGGUGGCGGUCACCAUCCCGUAGAGGAACUCUACAACCUGCAUGGUCUUCACUCCUUGGCCAAACGAAAGCAGCAGCCAGGUAAUGAUGAAACUAAUACCCUGCAAGAUGAUGACCGGCUUGUAGCGGACGUAAUUAGUGAGGACAAACACAGGCAGCAGCAGCCCCAGGUAGGAGUAUGUCCAAAUGGGGAAGAUCUCAUCUGUCAUCUGCAAGAUUAAGUGGGGAGAGUACAAAGACAAAAAAAAUCAGGUCGUGAAAUACACCCUGGGCCUCUGACACUUACCAUUAUCAAGAUGACACGGAGAGCGCCGCGGGCCCGAGAUGAAGCCGGCCGUGGACGAGAUGUUCCCCGAGGGCGCCCGGCCUUACGUGGACCUGGACGAGGCGGGAGGCAGCACUGGGCUCUUGAUGGACUUGGCAGCCAAUGAAAAGGCCGUUCAUGCAGACUUUUUAAAUGAUUUUGAAGAUCUUUUCGAUGAUGAUGACAUCCAGUGAGAUGACCUCUGGCUGCAGGCGGGGCCAGGCCCUUGGUACAGAGUCGCAGUGUGAGCCUGCGACAGUUUCAGGUGGUUUUAAAGAACACUUGGAAAUCCCUUGAAUUUAGGACCUGGUUAACCAAGAAAGAUAAGAGUGUUCUUCACCACCUAGAUGAGGCUGUUCGUCUUUGAACAUGACCACGUUGUGUCCUCACUCCAAUUAAAAGAAAGCAACGUCAAAAAAAAAAAAAAAAAA